rnacentral:rRNA from 1 species
GGAGUUUGGGCCGUGUCUCAGUCCCAAUGUGGCCGGUCACCCUCUCAGGUCGGCUACUGAUCGUCGCCUUGGUGGGCCGUUACCUCACCAACUAGCUAAUCAGACGCGGGUUCAUCCUAUACCACCGGAGUUUUUCACACAGAAAGAUGCCUCUCCGUGCGCUUAUGCGGUAUUAGCAGUCAUUUCUAACUGUUGUCCCCCUGUAUAGGGCAGGUUACCCACGCGUUACUCACCCGUCCGCCACUCAGUCAUCUCAUUGUUCACCCCGAAGGGUUCCCGCAAAGAGCUUCGUUCGACUUGCAUGUGUUAAGCACGCCGCCAGCGUUCAUC